rnacentral:tRNA from 1 species
GGGAGCAUGGUGUAACUGGCAGCAUGGCGGUCUCCAAAACCGUUGAUGGAGGUUCGACUCCUCCUGCUCCCG